UACGUAGGGGACCAGCGUUGUCCGGAUUUACUGGGCGUAAAGAGCGCGCAGGCGGUCGUUCAAGUCGAGUGUGAAAGCCCCCGGCUCAACUGGGGAGGGUCACUCGAUACUGGUCGACUUGAAGGCAGGAGAGGGAAGCGGAAUUCCCGGUGUAGUGGUGAAAUGCGUAGAUAUCGGGAGGAACACCAGUGGCGAAGGCGGCCUUCUGGACAGUGACUGACGCUGAGACGCGAAAGCGUGGGGAGCAAACAGG
rnacentral:rRNA from 1 species